UACGUAGGGCGCAAGCGUUGUCCGGAAUUAUUGGGCGUAAAGAGCUCGUAGGCGGCUUGUCACGUCGGGUGUGAAAGCCCGGGGCUUAACCCCGGGUCUGCAUUCGAUACGGGCAGGCUAGAGUUCGGUAGGGGAGAUCGGAAUUCCUGGUGUAGCGGUGAAAUGCGCAGAUAUCAGGAGGAACACCGGUGGCGAAGGCGGAUCUCUGGGCCGAUACUGACGCUGAGAAGCGAAAGCGUGGGGAGCGAACAGG
rnacentral:rRNA from 1 species